rnacentral:rRNA from 1 species
GAGUAAUGUCUGGGAAACUGCCUGAUGGAGGGGGAUAACUACUGGAAACGGUAGCUAAUACCGCAUAAUGUCGCAAGACCAAAGUGGGGGACCUUCGGGCCUCAUGCCAUCAGAUGUGCCCAGAUGGGAUUAGCUAGUAGGUGGGGUAACGGCUCACCUAGGCGACGAUCCCUAGCUGGUCUGAGAGGAUGACCAGCCACACUGGAACUGAGACACGGUCCAGACUCCUACGGGAGGCAGCAGUGGGGAAUAUUGCACAAUGGGCGCAAGCCUGAUGCAGCCAUGCCGCGUGUGUGAAGAAGGCCUUCGGGUUGUAAAGCACUUUCAGCGGGGAGGAAGGCG